CGUUGAAACAUAGGUUCCCGUACGAUCCCCGAAGUUAAGCAACUUUGAGCCAGGGCAGUAUCUUGAUGGGUGACCGUUCGGGAAUUCCAGGUGUUGUAA